rnacentral:tRNA from 1 species
GAGGGUAUAGCUCAGUGGUAGAGUAUGUGCUUAGUAUGCAUGAAGGUCCUGGGUUCAAUCCCCAGUGCCUCCA